rnacentral:rRNA from 1 species
GACGAACGCUGGCGGCGUGCCUGAUACAUGCAAGUAGAACACUGAAGAGAGGAGCUUGCUCUUCUUGGAUGAGUUGCGAACGGGUGAGUAACGCGUAGGUAACCUGCCUUGUAGCGGGGGAUAACUAUUGGAAACGAUAGCUAAUACCGCAUAACAAUGGAUGACUCAUGUCAUUUAUUUGAAAGGGGCAAAUGCUCCACUACAAGAUGGACCUGCGUUGUAUUAGCUAGUAGGUGAGGUAACGGCUCACCUAGGCGACGAUACAUAGCCGACCUGAGAGGGUGAUCGGCCACACUGGGACUGAGACACGGCCCAGACUCCUACGGGAGGCAGCAGUAGGGAAUCUUCGGCAAUGGGGGCAACCCUGACCGAGCAACGCCGCGUGAGUGAAGAAGGUUUUCGGAUCGUAAAGCUCUGUUGUAAAUCAAGAACGAGUGUGAGAGUGGAAAGUUCACACUGUGACGGUAGCUUACCAGAAAGGGACGGCUAACUACGUGCCAGCAGCCGCGGUAAUACGUAGGUCCCGAGCGUUGUCCGGAUUUAUUGGGCGUAAAGCGAGCGCAGGCGGUUUGAUAAGUCUGAAGUUAAAGGCUGUGGCUCAACCAUAGUUCGCUUUGGAAACUGUCAAACUUGAGUGCAGAAGGGGAGAGUGGAAUUCCAUGUGUAGCGGUGAAAUGCGUAGAUAUAUGGAGGAACACCGGUGGCGAAAGCGGCUCUCUGGUCUGUAACUGACGCUGAGGCUCGAAAGCGUGGGGAGCGAACAGG